rnacentral:tRNA from 1 species
GGAUAGCUCAGUUGGUUAGAGCGUGGUGCUGAUAACGCCAAGGUUGCAGGUUCGAUCCCCUUAAGGGACA